rnacentral:misc_RNA from 1 species
CGCACAUUGCGCCCCCUGGCAUUCCGAGGGGCAUGCCCGUUCGAGCGUCAUUAAAUCCCAUCAAGCCCGGCUUGGUAUUGGGCGACGGGACUCCCGCGCCUGAAUUUCGCCGGCUGACCGACCUCCCCCCCAGCGUUGUGACAUAACUGUCGCUGACGGGAGUGGCGGCCACGCCGUUACAAUUUUGAUUAACUUCAAUUCCAGAUUGACCUCGGAUCGGGUAGGAAUACCCGCUGAACUUAA